GAUGAAGAACGUAGCGAAAUGCGAUAAGUAAUGUGAAUUGCAGAAUUCAGUGAAUCAUCGAAUCUUUGAACGCACAUUGCGCCCGCCAGUAUUCUGGCGGGCAUGCCUGUCUGAGCGUCAUUUCAACCCUCAUGCCCCUAGGGCGUGGUGUUGGGGAUCGGCCAAAGCCCGCGAGGGACGGCCGGCCCCUAAAUCUAGUGGAGGACCCGUCGUGGCCUCCUCUGCGAAGUAGUGAUAUUCCGCAUCGGAGAGCGAUGAGCCCCUGCCGUUAAACCCCCAACUUUCCAAGGUUGACCUCAGAUCAGGUAGGAAUACCCGCUGAACUUAAGCAUAUCAAUAAGCGGAGGA
rnacentral:misc_RNA from 1 species